AUCUUGAAUGACAGGAAGGGAGGGCAGAUCCCAGCCAUUUUUCAUGUCCUGCCCAACUGCUGCUUUCAGUGAUUUUUUUUUUCGUACAUGCAAUUGGAAGAUAAAUAACUGCCCCUUAUCCACCUAAGGAGAGAUUUUGUCAGUUUCUAUUCUCAUUGUAUGUUCCUGGAUAACAUACUGAAACCCUGACAUAUCUUGGAAUUACACUUCAGAUUUACUUUGAAGCUUUAGUUUUUCAGACCUUUCCAGUAUCCAUUAGUAGAUAGACAGAACUACACAUGCUGUCUGGGUUCAUGGCUCGUGAUGUCCUUUGUAAAUGUAUUCCUCAAAGUUUCCAGAAGAAAAAGAUACCAGCUGGCUCAGAAAUACUACCAUCAUCUCACUGUGCCAGCUUGAGUAAUGCUCUUGCCAGCAAGCAGCUGGAGGAAAGGAUGAUCAGAGCGAGAUGAAGAAGAUGAGAAAAAAAGUGAAAUCAAAGUUGUUUGUCCCCUAUCACCCCAGCAGUAUCAACACUUUGAAAGGAAAGAGGGAGAGAGAAGUAGUGAAAGACCUCAGAGGACCAGGAGAAACAUCUGAUUUCUUGUCCCUUGUGGCCCUGGCAUAUGGACCCUCAUGAGUAUUGGCCUUUCUGUUCUGCUUUUCAACACGGAUUUGAAACCUCUGGGGAGUCCUUUGUUCUGAUAUGCUGCUGACACCCAGCUGUACAUGUCUUCUGCAACAGAUGUGCUCUCCAGAUGUCAUCAGGACUUAAACAGAAGUUUACAUGGAGCAGCGGCCAGCUACACUUGGCUCCAGAGGAAGAGGAAGCUGAUAAAUGAAGGCAAUGCUCUGGGAAACCUGCCCCAGUGUUGGCUUCAGCUGCUGUCACUGAGGUAGACUGGAAGGUUCUGCACAGACAAAAGAGAGGUUUCUGCACCUUUGCAAUUAGCGAGAGCUUGAACAUGUUCAGUUUGUUGGCCACUGCUAGACUAAGUCAACGCAGGCGUUGGAGGUCUCAAAUCCAUCAGCUGGUUUUACUCUGGGGCGUAAUUAUGAAUGGAACAACCCAAGCUGGCUUUGCUAUUAAAAUUGAACACAUUCCAAGGCGAGCCUUGUUUUGAAGCCUGGAUGAGCACAAAACCAAAGGACACUCACAACAAACCUAGCUUGUAUGUGGUCAGUACAAAGGUCAACACACCAGUUAGACACCUCCCUGGGCAGCACACAGCACACCUUUCAUUUUGUGUGGAGUACCAGAAGAAAUUUGUAGUGUGCAGCUGUAGAACCAUGCAGAAUGUUGCUGAUGGAAUAUUCUUGUUUGGAGAUAUUCAGGAAUGCUUACUGCCUCUUUGGAUAAUACGUUGAGAGCUGGUGAAUGAUGCUGCACAGUAAUAGAACAACUAGCAUAUGUUCUUUCUCUCAAGGCAAAAAAAGUUGGUUAUGCAUCAUUUUUUUUCUACGUCUGCCAUGCAGACUUUGGUGCUGAUAUUCCAGAUUUGUUAGGUAUUUCACUCUGUGGAGACUCGUAAUUAGCUGAGCAAGACAAUUUCCCUUGGCAAAAAAACCAAAAAACAAACAAACAAAAAAACACAGAAUGAGGUUAAUAUAUCACUUAAAUGUCACCUCUAAUUCAUUUUGAAAGUUUAAAUGGUUUGGUUUUGGAGGAGGGUUGGAGAAGGGGAAAGUAGGUCAAGUUUCUUGUCAGUUUUCUAUUAACAGGUAAAUUCGAUCAUGUCAGCAGUAAUAGAAGGAAGAUAAGAUGAAAAAAAAAACCAAAAAACCCAAACUACGCAGUCGAUACAGCUCACUGUCCAACAGUUAGGACAGUCAGCACUGGACAGAUUGAGGAUGGGUGAAACGAGAAGCUGGGUAGUCUUUUCUUCUUUCCUCUUUUGCUUUGUAAUUUCAUGUGAAAUGACCCAUGUUCCUGCUGUAUCUAAAUGCACUGAUAGUUCAAACAAAACAAAAAUACAAAUGAAGAAAAUGUGGUUCUAGCCCAGAAAUAAUUUAGUGGAGCCAUUCUG
rnacentral:lncRNA from 7 species